GAUGAACGCUAGCUACAGGCUUAACACAUGCAAGUCGAGGGGAAACGACAUCGAAAGCUUGCUUUCGAUGGGCGUCGACCGGCGCACGGGUGAGUAACGCGUAUCCAACCUGCCCACCACUUGGGGAUAACCUUGCGAAAGUAAGACUAAUACCCAAUGAUAUCUCUAGAAGACAUCUGAAAGAGAUUAAAGAUUUAUUGGUGAUGGUUGGGGAUGCGUCUGAUUAGCGUGUUGGCGGGGGUACGGCCCACCAAGGCUACGAUCAGUAGGGGUUCUGAGAGGAAGGUCACCCACAUUGGAACUGAGACACGGUCCAAACUCCUACGGGAGGCAGCAGUGAGGAAUAUUGGUCAAUGGACGAGAGUCUGAACCAGCCAAGUAGCGUGCAGGAUGACGGCCCUAUGGGUUGUAAACUGCUUUUAUAAGGGAAUAAAGUGAGUCUCGUGAGACUUUUUGCAUGUACCUUAUGAAUAAGGACCGGCUAAUUCCGUGCCAGCAGCCGCGGUAA
rnacentral:rRNA from 1 species